UUUAAAAUCUAGCGUCCUCAGGGCGUUCGAGUUGUAAUCUACAGACGCGUUUUCCGCUUCGGACCAUGCCUAAGUCCCUUGGAAAAGGGCAUCAUAGAGGGUGAUAAUCCCGUACAUGGCAUGGAGCGCCCGAAGCUUUGUGAUACGCUUUCUACGAGUCGAGUUGUUUGGGAAUGCAGCUCAAAAUGGGUGGUAAAUUCCAUCUAAGGCUAAAUAUUGGGGAGAGACCGAUAGCGAACAAGUACAGUGAUGGAAAGAUGAAAAGAACUUUGAAAAGAGAGUUAAACAGUACGUGAAAUUGCCAAAAGGCAAGGGUAGGAGGUCAGAGAUGCGUCUUGGGAUUCGGCCUUGCUUUUUGCAUGGUGUUUUUCCCACGAUGCAGGCCAACGUCGGUUUUGGGCACUGGAGAAGGGUGGAAGGAACGUGGCACCUCUCGGGGUGUGUUAUAGCCUUCCACUGGAUACAGCGACCGAGACCGAGGACAGCAGCGUACUCGCAAGAGCGGGCCUUCGGGCACCUUUACGCUUAGGGCGUUGGCAUAAUGGCCCUCUACCACCCGUCUUG
rnacentral:rRNA from 1 species